CCUACGGGAGGCAGCAGUGGGGAAUAUUGCACAAUGGGCGCAAGCCUGAUGCAGCGACGCCGCGUGGGGGAUGAAGGCCUUCGGGUUGUAAACUCCUUUCGCUAGGGACGAAGCCUUAUGGUGACGGUACGUGGAGAAGAAGCACCGGCUAACUACGUGCCAGCAGCCGCGGUAAU
rnacentral:rRNA from 1 species